rnacentral:rRNA from 1 species
AUUGAACGCUGGCGGCAUGCUUUACACAUGCAAGUCGAACGGCAGCGCGGGGGCAACCCUGGCGGCGAGUGGCGAACGGGUGAGUAAUGCAUCGGAACGUAUCCUGUAAUGGGGGAUAACGUAGCGAAAGUUACGCUAAUACCGCAUACGCUCGAGAGAGGAAAGUGGGGGAUCGCAAGACCUCACGUUAUAGGAGCGGCCGAUGUCCGAUUAGCUAGUUGGUGGGGUAAAGGCCUACCAAGGCGACGAUCGGGUAGCGUGGUCUGAGAGGAUGAUCAGCCACACUGGGACUGAGACACGGCCCAGACUCCUACGGGAGGCAGCAGUGGGGAAUUUUGGACAAUGGGCGAAAGCCUGAUCCAGCCAUGCCGCGUGCGGGAAGAAGGCCUUCGG